rnacentral:rRNA from 1 species
GAUGAACGCUGGCGGCGUGCCUAAUACAUGCAAGUCGAGCGAACAGACGAGGAGCUUGCUCCUCUGACGUUAGCGGCGGACGGGUGAGUAACACGUGGAUCACCUCCCUAUAAGACUGGGAUAACUUCGGGAAACCGGAGCUAAUACCGGAGAAUAUAUUGAACCGCAUGGUUCAUUAGAGAAAGACGGUUUUGCUGGCUCUUCUAGAUGGAUCCGCGCCGCAUUAGCUAGUUGGUAAGGUAACGGCCUACCAAGGCAACCAUGCGUAACCGACCUGAGAGGGGGAUAGGCCACCCGGGAACUGAGACAGGGUCCAGACUACUGAGGGAGGCAGCAGUAGGGAAUCUUAGGCAGUGGGCGAGAGCCUGACGGAGCAACGCCGAGUGAGUGAUGAAGGUCUUGGGAUCGUAAAGCUCUGUUAUUAGGGAAGAACAAAUGUGUAAGUAACUGUGCAGGUCUUGACGGUAACUGAUAAGAAAGCAACGGCUAACUACGUG